GGAAUUUUCCGCAAUGGGCGAAAGCCUGACGGAGCAACGCCGCGUGAGGGAUGAAGGCCUCUGGGCUGUAAACCUCUUUUUUCAAGGAAGAAGAUCUGACGGUACUUGAUGAAUAAGCCACGACUAAUUCCGUGCCAGCAGCCGCGGUAAUACGGGAGUGGCAAGCGUUAUCCGGAAUUAUUGGGCGUAAAGCGUCCGCAGGCGGUCUGUCAAGUCUGCUGUUAAAGCGUGGAGCUUAACUCCAUUUCGGCAGUGGAAACUGACAGACUAGAGUGUGGUAGGGGCAGAGGGAAUUCCCGGUGUAGCGGUGAAAUGCGUAGAUAUCGGGAAGAACACCAGUGGCGAAGGCGCUCUGCUGGGCCAUAACUGACGCUCAUGGACGAAAGCCAGGGGAGCGAAAGGGAUUAGAUACCCCUGUAGUC
rnacentral:rRNA from 1 species